rnacentral:rRNA from 1 species
GACGUAGGGUGCGAGCGUUGUCCGGAUUUAUUGGGCGUAAAGAGCUCGUAGGCGGCUCGUCGCGUCGACCGUGAAAACCCGCGGCUUAACUGCGGGCUUGCGGUUGAUACGGGCGGGCUAGAGUUCGGUAGGGGAGACUGGAAUUCCUGGUGUAGCGGUGAAAUGCGCAGAUAUCAGGAGGAACACCGGUGGCGAAGGCGAGUCUCUGGGCCGAUACUGACGCUGAGGAGCGAAAGCGUGGGGAGCGAACAGG